ACUAUAUCUAGUGUUAGAGGUUCUUUCGAUGCGAGUCGGAAGCUAAGACGGGAAUACGGUGAGUGACGUCCAUGACGGACAGAUCAAUGCCGAAGCUGCCCCCGCAACUGUAAGCGACGAGCAUCCGCUCGAUUAAUGCCACUGAGGCCGGAAGGCUUCGGGAAGGCGAGAUGGAUGUGACGACCCGCGAGCCAGGAGACCUGCCUCAAACGAAAACGUCCA
rnacentral:ncRNA from 2 species